UUAAGUAAGAACGUGAACUCCAGUUAAGUGAUUAAGGAUGUAUUGUCACUUACAGAAAUACACAUUUUAAUUUUCAAUUCAAUUUAAUUCAUUUAUUUUACGUCCACUACUGCAGUCUAGACUGCAAAACAGCUGUAGUUGUAC